rnacentral:rRNA from 1 species
CCUACGGGUGGCUGCAGUGAGGAAUAUUGGUCAAUGGGCGCUAGCCUGAACCAGCCACGCCGCGUGAAGGAUGACUGCCCUCUGGGUUGUAAACUUCUUUUAUAUGGGAAUAAAGUGGUGUAUGUAUACUGUCUUGUAUGUACCUUAUGUAUCCGGAUCGGCUAACUCCGUGCCAGCAGCCGCGGUAAUACGUAGGAUCCGAGCGUUAUCCGGAUUUAUUGGGUUUAAAGGGAGCGUAGGCGGGUUGUUAAGUCAGUUGUGAAAGUUUGCGGCUCAACCGGAAAAGUGCAGUUGAUACUGGCAGCCUUGAGUACAGUAGAGGUGAGCGGAAUUCGAGGUGUAGCGGUGAAAUGCGUAGAUAUCACGAAGAACUCCAGUGGCGAAGGCAGCCGGCUGGACUGUAACUGACGCUGAGGCUCGAAAGUGUGGGUAGCAAACAGGAUUAGAUACCCUAGUAGUC